GAUGAACGCUGGCGGCGUGCCUAAUACAUGCAAGUCGAGCGAACGGACGAGAAGCUUGCUUCUCUGAUGUUAGCGGCGGACGGGUGAGUAACACGUGGAUAACCUACCUAUAAGACUGGGAUAACUUCGGGACACCGGAGCUAAUACCGGAUGAUAUUUUGAACCGCAUGGUUCAAAAGUGAAAGACGGUCUUGCUGUCACUUAUAGAUGGAUCCGCGCUGCAUUAGCUAGUUGGUAAGGUAACGGCUUACCAAGGCAACGAUGCAUAGCCGACCUGAGAGGGUGAUAGGCCACACUGGAAGUGAGACACGGUCCAGACGCCUACGGGAGGCAGCAGUAGGGAAUCUUCCGCAAUGGGCGAAAGCCUGACGGAGCAACGCCGCGUGAGUGAUGAAGGUCUUCGGAUCGUAAAACUCUGUUAUUAGGGAAGAACAUAUGUGUAAGUAACUGUGCACAUCUUGACGGUACCUAAUCAGAAAGCCACGGCUAACUACGUG
rnacentral:rRNA from 1 species